rnacentral:snoRNA from 1 species
GCGAAUGAUUAUACAUUUUUAACCCUGAGCUUCUGCGCUGAGGAUCAAUAAGCGACAACAACACUCUAAUUUUUUAAUGACG